UAGGCAUUGAUGGCGAGGCUGGGCAGCACCAGGAACGAGAUGCUGAGACCACACCACCACUGUUCUCCUGCCAGGCACAGGUUCGCGGCCACCACCACGCUGGACACCUGGUCGGCCACGUACAGCAGCAGUUUCAACUGUUUCAAGAAAGAAAUAUCAAGAAUGGUCACUCUUUCAUCCCUUUCAGUGGGUGACUGCAGCUCAGCCUGUUUCCUGUUUUCUAUUUCCUACUAGGUGAGCUGCGUCAGGAGAGGAGUACUCGCAUCAAGACAUUUCAGUGGAGAUGCUGUUGUCUCUGAAAAUCAAUGCUAUUAUCGAAAUAGAAACUUCUGUAAUAC